rnacentral:rRNA from 1 species
AACGAACGCUGGCGGCAGGCCUAACACAUGCAAGUCGAGCGAGGACUUCGGUUCUAGCGGCGGACGGGUGAGUAACGCGUGGGAAUGUGCCCUUCUCUACGGAAUAGCCCUGGGAAACUGGGAGUAAUACCGUAUACGCCCUAUUGGGGAAAGAUUUAUCGGAGAAGGAUCAGCCCGCGUUGGAUUAGGUAGUUGGUGGGGUAAUGGCCUACCAGGCCGACGAUCCAUAGCUGGUUUGAGAGGAUGAUCAGCCACACUGGGACUGAGACACGGCCCAGACUCCUACGGGAGGCAGCAGUGGGGAAUCUUAGACAAUGGGGGCAACCCUGAUCGAGCCAUGCCGGGUGAGUGAUGAAGGCCUUAGGGUUGUAAAGCUCUUUCAGCUGGGAAGAUAAUGACGGUACCAGCAGAAGAAGCCCCGGCUAACUCCGUG